rnacentral:rRNA from 1 species
AUUGAACGCUAGCGGGAUGCCUUACACAUGCAAGUCGAACGGAGUGGCGAACGGGUGAGUAAUGUAUCGGAACGUGCCCAGUAGCGGGGGAUAACUACGCGAAAGCGUAGCUAAUACCGCAUACUAUUGGAGCGGCCGAUAUCGGAUUAGCUAGUGGGUGGGGUAACGGCUCACCAAGGCGACGAUCCGUAGCUGGUUUGAGAGGACGACCAGCCACACUGGGUCUGAGACACGGCCCAGAUUCCUACGGGAGGCAGCAGUGGUGAAUUGUGGACAAGGGUGUAAACACUUAUCCAGCCAUCCCGCGUGUCGGAAGAAGGCCUUCGGGUUGUAAAGCACUUUUGGCAGGAAAGCGGUACCUGCAGAAUAAGCACCGGCUAACUACGUGCCAGCAGCCGCGGUAAUUU